GGGAAAGGGCCAAGCCAUUACUAGGGUGCUU
rnacentral:piRNA from 1 species